GAUAGUGCCCAAGGUCCUCCCAUCUCAGGCCACCAGUCACCUGCCCAGUAAGUGAUGCACAGUGACAGCCACUAUGUGAGGUUCCUUAGUUGCUUUUUUGGACAUACAUCUUUGUAAUAUUCUCUUCUUCUCCAAGGCAUAAUGUCUUACUGCUUUGCUAAGAGUAUAUCAAAUUGCUUGGCUCUUCACUGAAGAGAGGUGUGAGGGAGAACCUGUCCUAAGCUCUCUGGGCAUACAUCAUGGAGUGGAGUAUUAUGGAACAGAGGUUUGAUAUAUCACUCCUGUUGCUAGGUGCCAUCGACUUAGCAGCUCAAAGUGCUGGCAUCAUCCCUGGAAGUCCCUUGCCAAUUUUAGAUACUGAUGGCUCAUCUGGCAUCUCUCCACUGUCUUCAGAACAAGCAACCACUGCCAUCUCGGGGCAGGGUGACACUGGACCACACCAGAACAGAGACCCUGUUACUGCUGUAAGGGUGAGAACAUUUACAAGGGCUGUUUGUUGUUCCCAGUAGCUUCUGGAGUGAGGUCAUACGUCUGGGUCACACUGAACCCUGUUGCACCUUUGGAAGCCUAAUGGUUAGAGAAAACACUGAACCAGAGAUACCAAGGUUUGAACACCUACCAUGGAGCACAGAGUGGGAGGCAGUGAAGAGACAUGUUUGCUGUGUGGUUCUAAAGAAGCCAUUGCUAAACCAUGCAUGGGGGUAUAGCUUUGAAUUUCAUCCUAGUAGGCUGACAUCAGCCCAUGGGUCCCCACUUAGGAAGUACUGAGUGCUUGGUAUCUCUGUGGAAAACAGUUCGUAUGGCCUUGACCACUCUUUUUCAUGUAUCUCCAAAUGCUCUGAUUCCUUUGCUUGUUGGAGUAGAGGCUGGGUUUUGUAGACCCCAUGGAGCUCGGAGAUUAUGUGGUCAGGCUGUUACUGAACUGUGUAGUUUCCUCUUAAAAAUCAAUAAAUGGUUGUAAGUGCAGAGCCGACAAUCUGAGAGUUGUUCUCCAUCAUUUCCAGCUUAGAGCACAAUCCAUUUCUUCACCUGUUUGUAGGGACACCGGCUUAACUGAGAACAGUUUUUCUUUGGUGCACAGCCAGACAAGUACUUUAGCUGUUUUUCCAGCUCAGUGUGGACCAUUCAGAAGUCUUCUUGUUGUUCCAGGGCACUAAUGACCCAUUUAUCAGUGUUACAAGACCAGAGCAGGAGCCAAUGACAGAUGGUUUCCAGGUAGAGUACAUUCUGGGCUUCAGUGUCCUCUCCCUGCGUGCAUGGACUGUGCUUCCCAGCAGUGUUGUCCUUUCACCUAACUUGGGGAUUGCUAUUGUUUCCUGGAUGAACGGAUUGUAUUGUCCCUUCUCCAGCUUCCUUUUGUUGAACCCCAUGUCUGAAAGGACUAGGUUUUCAGCUGGUGGCUUUUGGAGAGUUAUUCUCCACUAGAUGCUGACAGUGGGAAUAGGCUCACCCUACCCUGGCUUAACGUUUUUCUGAAGAAGUGCAUUUCCUGAGUGCGCCUCUCUCUUGGGAGAAAGAAUGGUGAAUCCCUGCAUUUCUCUCUUGGGAGAAUGGUGAAUCCCUGCAUUUCUCUCUUGGGAGAAUGGUGAAUCCCUGCAUCUCUCUUGGGAGAAUGGUGAAUCCCUGCAUCUCUCUUGGGAGAAUGGUGAAUCCCUGCAUUUCUCUUGGGAGAAUGGUGAAUCCCUGCAUUUCUCUUGGGAGAAUGGUGAAUCCCUGCAUUUCUUGCAGCUGCUAGGCUGGAGGUGGGCGUUGUACUCACUGUAACAAGUACUGAUGGGUACCUUGUGUCUGAAUAAGAUUUGUUUCUUACUCAGGGAUCACCUGCUCUGACCUUACCUGAGCUGUCCAAGGCUAAUCUCCAGAAUGGCCUGUCCAUACCUUUACCCUCAUCGGAGAGCUCCAGCACCCGUCUCUCCCCACCCAAUGUUUCUGCACUGCUGGACAUAUCCCUACCUGGUCCACCUGAGGAUGUUCUCUCACAGGGAGAACCUGCCACACAGAUCAGUGACUCCAUCAUUGAAAUUGCCAUCAGCUCUGGCCAGUACAGUAAGUACAGAUGGCCUUGGAAACCUUCCCUAGGCUCUCACUGAAAUGGCCAGACUUACAAGAAGUAGACCUGAUCUGUCUAAGGGUUAGCCAAACUUGCUGGCAAAGUUCCAGGGUAACUAUCAUUUUUGGCUUUGAAUAUGUGCCACUAUAAGGUGCCUCUGCCUGGCUCUGGCAGGAGCAGUAACUGGUCGCUGGGGCCACUAGUGGUCUGGUUGAGUUUCUCCUGACCUUGAGGUAAGAAUGGAAUGGUUUUGAAGGCCCUCUGAAGUCUGGGGAUCAGCCUUCUAUUUGUGCAUCUGGAAGAUGACUUACAUGUUUUAGGUAGUACUUAGCAAGUAGCUGCACACAUGGUGACCAAGGGCCUGGUCUCACUUGUUCUGUGCUGGUGUUCCUGCUGGCAGUGGCACAGCUAUUUUGCCUGCUGACAUGAUUCAGAUAUGUUUCAGGCAGACAUGAAUUCAGUCUCUUAGCUUAUGAGCUUAAUGGGUCCCUGACUUGCUUUUCUCAGUUGUAGGCUGGGAACUGUGUGUACCCCAUAGGAUGGAAUCAGGAGCAUGGGAUGGGUGCAAACAACACCAUGAAGAUUAUUGACAUAGUACUUUGGGCCCUGCCUGCUGUGUUUUGUACUCCUAAAGCAUAAAGUUACCUUGAAGGCUCUGUGAUCCUUUUUUAUAAACAGCUGCUAUCCCUUUGGGGUGGGGCCAGUGCAUCCUUGUUCUCCUGGAUUCAGCAGUUCACAGCCUCUGCCCCAUGGGUUCAGGGAAGCAUCUCUGACCUUUGUUUUUGGUUGACAGGUGAAGGAGUUCCCCUUUCUCCAGCAAAACUGAACGGCAGUGACAGUUCCAAGAGUCUUCCCUCCCCAUCUAGCAGCCCCCAGCCCAACUGGAUUGCCUCUCCCACUCAUGAUCCCCAGUGGUAUCCCAGUGACUCUGCAGAUUCCUCACUCAGCAGCUUGUUCGGUGAGUGUUUCUGGAGGACUCUUCUUUCCAAGGUUGGAGUUAGGUUAGACCUCAGCGCUUUUGCUUGUUUCUCAAGUAUUUAUUUCUGAGUUAACUGAAACGUGUAAUUUACAUAUAGGAGAAUGCAUAGAUUUUCAGUUUGUAGUUCACUGGAUGUCGACAUGCUUGUAGACUCUGAGAGCCCACAGCCCAGUACAGACAGAACAUUCAAGUCAUUCAUGGGAUUCUCAAUGCCUUCUCCAGUCUGUUUAGCCUUCCUAACCCUUUUCUUAUAGAGCUCUUGCAAAGACAAACAGACCAGACCAGACCAUCUUUAUGUUCCCAAUUUCUUUAUAUAUUCAGUCAGGUACUCUGAAGUGAAUGUUGCAGCUGACUUGUGGUGGUAUUGUUUGUUUGUUUGUUUGUUUGUUUGUUUGUUUGUUUGUUUGAGACAGGGUUUCUCUUUGUAGCCCUGGCUGGCCUAGAACUCACUUUGUAGACCAGGCUGGCCUGGAACUCAGAAAUCCUCCUGCCUCUGCCUCCCCAGUGCUGGAAUUAAAGGCAUGCACCACCAUGCUCGGCCAUGUGGUGGUAUUCUUGACCACAUAUGGAAAAUUAUAGAACGUGUCUUUCUUCCCCCAGGAAGAGAUCCCAUUCUGUUUUACACCUUACUGAAUCACUUUGUAGGAUGAAGUCAAAUUGAAGCAGCUAUGGGUCAGUAAUGGAUAGGAGCACACAUUGGCCAAGACUGCUUAAUUUUUAUUAAUACAUCUGUCCCCUAUUUAAACCCAAACCUGUCAGUGCCCUGAAUAUGAGUUUGGGGGAUGGAGUCACUGAACCUGUUUAUUUUGUUCUUUUCCCCCCGUGGUGCUACAGUGAGUCGAUCUCCAUUCUCUGCUUUUCACUAUCCCUCGUUUCCUUGGUGGGUGUAUUGAGGAUGGAUGGCUAAGCUGACUUUCACAGUGCCAGGACCCAGGCUUUUACCCUGAUAAUUCCAGAUUUGAUCAUCCUUGAUUAUAUAGCACUGUACCUAGUGGAAGAGUACACAGAACCAGCCUCACAGUCCAGGUUUUUUUUAAUCACAAGAAACAGUGCAAACAUGAGGAGAAAUUCCCUGCAAUCUAUGAAGUCAGAAUUAAACUUAAUGCCUAUUAGUGAGGGUCUGCCACAGAGAAUACAGUAUAGGAGGAGCUCGGCAUGCGGCCCUUGGAAAUGAUAAAGAUGAAUGUACACUAACACAGAUGACAAAGCCUAUUGUAGCAUAAUGUCAUGGGUAGCCCUUGACACAAGUGUGAAGGUGGAGACCUAGAGGGCCCUGACUAGGCUACCUGGACACUCAUGCCUGACUCACCUUCUUUCCACAGCCAGCUUCAUAUCUCCAGAGAAGAGCAGAAAGAUGCUACCAACUACUGUUGGGGCCAACAGCGGCACAUCUUUGCUUGGCCCUAGCUUGUUGGAUGGAAAUUCAAGGGACUCUUUUGUGUCCAGGUCUCUGGCUGAUGUUGCAGAAGUAAGUUCAGUGCCAUACUCCUGAACUUUUAACUUUCCACCUCAUUCUGGAGGCUAUGGGGUCCUUUGUAGGUCCUGUGGGUCUUCAGCAGUGCUCACUGAGUCUGUUAUGUGAGAGAACAGUAUACAGGUCUUUAGUCUCUGAGAGAUCUGGCAGCACUUGGGCAACUGAUGGCCCACAGCAAACUCUUAAGGAUCAGGUGUCCUUUGUAGGAUUCUUAACUUGGGAAGCCCGGGAUCAGAGUGGAGAACAGGUCCCCAAAAGCAGGCAGAAUGCUGUUGUCCUUCCUCUUUAUGUCCUUCCCUUGCUCAGUGACCUUGGGCUGACUCAGUUACCUAAUCUAUAACAUGUCCUGCCAUUUGGGAGUUGUAUGAUGCUACUUUAUCACCUUUUCUGCCCUGCCUAUAGAGAAGGCCUGUUAGGGGGCAUUUCCUGUAAUGUGCUGUGGCCAUGACCCUGUGGAACUUAGGAAGAGGUUCUGCAUUAGAGUUCUGUCUUUUUUCUAUGUAUGCUUUUCCACAUUUGAACUAGGUUGUCCGUCCCUGCAGUCAUCCAGAGUGUUGGGAACAAAAAGGGGGGAGGGGGCUGGUGGCCCUGGGGAAAAGUGGGGGAGGAAAAGGGGCCUAACGUCCGGCCAGACCUCCUGUGUUCUGGGCAGGCAGACGCUUUUCCACUCGUCCCCAGGUGAGCAUGCCUGACCCACGCAGCGUGGGGUGGAAAAGGGGCAGCCCCUGACCGGGGACCCCAGGGCUACCUUGCUAAAGCCCCAGGAUUGUAGGAGAGAGGGAAUAGGGGAAGAAGUUCCCAACACUGAUCAGAGUGUGCGGCUGGUCUUGAUGGGGCAGAGACUCUCUAUGGUUUAAGAGCUUUAUUAUAGAAAUGCAGGGAGAGGGGCUGGUGAGAUGGCUCAGUGGGUAAGAGCACCCGACUGCUCUUCCGAAGGUCUGGAGUUCAAAUCCCAGCAACCACAUGGUGGCUCACAACCAUCCGUAACGAGAUCUGGCGCCCUCUUCUGGAGUGUCUGAAGACAGCUACAGUGUACUUACAUAUAAUGAAUAAAUAAAUCUUUAAAAAAAAAAAAAAAGAAAUGCAGGGAGAAAGAGAGAAGGUAGGAAGAGAGAGAGAGAGAGAGAGAG
rnacentral:lncRNA from 1 species